UGCGGGCGAUCCCACAGUUGCUUUCAGUUUCUUUCUAACGUUUCGGGGAGCAGAGGGCAGUGACAACACUGAUUAUUUCUGGACACAGAAUUUAACAGAAUUCACGUGCUGGGGGUGCCCCAACGAGGCCCGCGAGUGCUUUCCUCCCCCGUGUCCGAUUUUCGCCCCGUCUCCCAACUUUGGCACUAACAAAAGGACUCGAAGUAGCCCAAAGUGCAACGCUCGUUUGCACGGGCGGGCGUGUGGUGUUCAUCCCUCAGCCCCCUGUAUGGAACCGAUCCCUCCUGCUCAGCUCGGCGAGGUGACACGAUCACAUCCUAUUGCAGUUUGGGAAACGCACUCCCUAACGCUGCCCUCUCGUUUCAGGAAGCGAGAUACGAAACCUCGAUGCAAUGGAAGACGAUGUGCACAGCCUGAAAUAUUUCUCGCAAAAUAGCCUGAAGUGGUGUUGCCUGUGCUACAUAAUCCGACGAUUGUAACGGAACAACAACAAAAUCCCACCAGAAAUAUUUCAGGCACUCCGUUUCACAUUGGCUAGGUCUGGGAUCUGGCAAGAGGGCAGGAAAAAAAAAAAAAAAAAAAAAAAAAAAAAAAAAAAAAAGGGAGAUAAAAACCCCAAACAACAAAACUAGUCCUAAAUGGAGACAGAAACCCUAAGCUAGGAGCUUCGGAGGGCUGCUUUCUACACAAAUUGAGUGCUGCGGGUCCUGGGCUUUUGAGAGAUCCGGGGCCGAGCCGGUGAGCGGGGACAGCGGUGGAGGAGCUGCAUGCACCCGGGCACGGCCGCAGCCCCGGGAGGAUCAGCUCGAGAGAGCCUCCCGGUUCCAAGGGAAAGGACGAGAAGCAAAAAUAAAGUCUCCAAGCCGAGAUAGCGAACGCCCAGCUCCUUCUCCUCGCCGCAGCCAGACGUGAUGCGGAGCGCAGGGAGCGGCCGCUGUCAGUGGCGGGGGCUGUGCCUGUCCCCGUGCAGCCGACGCAUCGCCGGGCCGAGCCGCGCUGCGCUGUGCCGCGUCGCUCCGCGCUCCGUUCCGCCGCUCUCCUCUCCGCUCCGCGCCCCGCUCCGCCCGGCUCCCCGCUAGCAGACACCUCGCGAGGCAGGCAGCAUACUGCCGGCAGCCGGCCCGGCCCCGCUACCCAGGUGCAGGGGGGGAGGGCUUAAAGCAGUGGGAGGUGAUAGAGGUAGGAGACAUCUGUGUCGUGAGGGGGUUAGUGGGGGUCAAGUAGAUGUUAACAAUAGGCGAGCGCGGUCCCUCUCGGGCAGCCCGCCUGCUCUUUCUUUCCCUCGCUCGCUUUUACCGGGUGGACAUCUAACUUGCUCCCUAAUGAUGCCUCCCCGGCUUUAAGAGUCCAGACUGCCCUGCAGUAACCCAAGACAAACACUUUCCCUGGCCAUCUGGAGAGCUCCUGGCUGCUCUGCCUGUGUCUCAUCACUGUGUGAAGAGACAGCAGUGCUAGAAAUCAAGCCACUCUCAGAUCUACUCUCUAAUCCCCUUCUGUUAGCUGAUUUCCAGUCAGACUGUUUGCUUUCGCAUUAGAUAAUAGCCUUAGAGAAAACAAUUAUCAUUUUCUUUUUCCCUUUGUAUUUUGUUCUUUAUAAAGUACAGUAUUGAGGAAGGCCUCCCUCUCUUUUUUUUUUCUUUUUUUCUCUUUUUUUUUUUUUAAAGAAAUGUACAUCUUUCGUGGUUUGCAGAACCCAGAUGCAAUUUCACACUUUCCUGGAAGGGGAUUCUGGAUUCUUCCAAAAGCAGAAACACGAUUGUGACUGCAGUGGAAAUUAAUUACGAACAGCUACAAUUAAUAGGAGUGUGCCACCAUUUGCUCCGCACUUCAUUCCCUAAUCGUUUCAGGAGGCAUCCAUACAUUUUCCGAUUCAUCAGUCAUUCCCUUCCACGUUUCUCAGAGAAUGUCAUUGUCAGUGAUGCAACCUACAGUGAAGCGGUGCUUCUGCUGUCAUGUUGACGCUACACAAAGAAGGCACCUCCAUGAAAAAAAAAAAAAGAAAAAAAAAAAAAAAAUCGACUUCAUAGAGUGAGGAAAAAAACUGUGUUUUUGUUGCGUUUCAGGCUAGUGAUUGGAGCUCUCAGAACUGUCUGGGCAUUUAGCGUAGGGUUUUUUGUUUGUUUGUUUGUUUUUUAAUGGCAAAUGUUAACUAAAAGCAGUGGUGUGUGUAGCAGAACUUCUCAUCAGCCGGCAUUGUUUAUCACUGUAUGCACACUCACACACAUGCUAUGGGCCUGCUCUUGCAAACUUGCAAGUGCCUGAUUUUAAGCACUGAAAUAGGUGUACUGAAUGUAAAGGAGCUUUACAUGUGCUCACAACAGGCGCAUACGCAUUCCUGGAAAGGACAUUUAUGAGCAUCAUUUAUCCGCUGCUGUGCCAGGCUUUGAAAAUGCAGUUGUUUUUGAAAAUACAUUUAAAGCAUGCUUUAGGAUCCAGUUAAAUGUAUCUCUCCUACAGAUAUUUAGAUACACAGGGCUUUAAUGAGCAGCUUGGCAUAGCAUAAUAAGAGGUCAAGUUUACCUUGAAGUGAAUUCAGCUCAACGGAGCAAUUACAUCAGGACAUGUUUUGUUCUACAGUGAUUUCAAUUUACACAACUGGUGGGAAGCCACAAGCCGGGCAUUGAUUUCUAAUUUAAAAGCUAUCUGCUUUACAGAGGUCCAUUUUGAGGCCAAAAUUAUUGGCCGAUUUUUAAAAAGCUUUUUAAAAAUAAUCUAAAAAUAGCAAAUUUCCAAUAUUUCCUUUGUCUGCUGCAGACAGAGACUUUGGUUGAGUCUGAAAAUCUGUGUGGCACGAUAGUUUCAUCCAUGUUGUUGAAUGGAAAGCUGAAAAGUGAGCAGGAAUUGUCGAAGGACACAGAGCAUGUUGUGCUGACGUGUUGAGGACCGAAAGCCGAGUCUGAAAUCUCAGCUUAAAACAACAGCAACAAAAAAACCUCACCAGAGCAGUUACCUCUGGCUUGUACCUUUAGUUUAAGAGAUCAGGUAUUAUCUUACGAAAGAGGGAAGGAGCAUCAUUUAGAAACUAUGGGAAGCUAUUAGCCAUUAAACAUCCACUUACAAACUGAAUCAAGUUAAUAUCUCCCAUUUUCUGUAAAGAGAAUAGUACAGAAGUCACCUUUCAGAAUGCCUGCCCUGCCUCACAGAGCAGUAGAUGCAGACCCUCACGCAGUGACUGAGCUCCCCCAUCACUCAGGGAGAAUACAUUGACAUGAUUCCUAAGUCAUAAAAGAUUGUAACUACCAAAUAUUGUCAUUAUAUUCCCUAGCUGAUGAGUGAAGCCUGGCUUAUUGCACGCCUCUCUUACCCACACCUUUUUCUUCUCUCUAUUUAUUUCCUGGAGAAAGCAGGUAUGUUUUAGUGCAAAAGGAAAAAUAAACAUGUUCUUUGAAACAUGAAUUUAUGUUUCAGGAAGAAAAAAAACGCAGGCUCACAGCAGACCUCACAAAUACUUGGUAACUUUACACCCCGCAGAUUUUUCCUGCAGACUGUAGCUGCCAUGUCUGAUUUGACAUGUGAAGGAUUUACACCGUGUAUCGCUGUGUGAUAUGGUGUGAGAGGAAGGCUGGUGGAAGUGGAGUUGCACAUGGGAGUCAGAAAUAUCCUGCGAUGCUGUCCAAAACUGACUGUAUUUUGAUUGUACAUAAACAGAUCAAAUGUUCUGAGCUGAAACGUGGCUUGCUUUUUGCUGCAAAUAAUUAUAUUAUGGGCACUCAUCCGUACUGACAUUCUUGGAACAGAAUUUCUGUAUCAACUCACCCCAGUGCCAUUUAAAAAUAGACACAUGUAUGUCCCUCCUAAUCAUCAUUGCCUCGCAGCUUCAGGUGUCAAACUCUGUCGCAUGUCUGCAUCUGGAAUCUGCUCUAACAGUUCUCUGCUCAAAAUUUACAGACUUGAAGCCCGUGCCUGUUUUGAGGUGAUGUCUUUCCAUUGAGAUGACUUGCAUUACCAAAAACCUCUCUGUGUGCUGCAGGAAGCAUGCGGGGAUCUCCCUGUUGUUUUGGGCUGGGCCAGGCCUUGGCACUGUGACUGCCACAGUGCUCAUUUCACCAGCACUUAUUUUCACUGAGGCACAGUAAACGUUCAUAUAAAACUAAACAGUUUAGCUCGAUAUUUGAUAGCUUUAACUUAUGAACUUAUCCAUGUUUUCCCAAUUUCCCCUGUAGUUUACAAGUGUUUUUUAUAUGUUAGCAUGGGCCGUGCUUAGUUUCCAUCCCCUCCUGGUUGCACACCCUUUGCAGGUGGCACACUCCAAAGGUGGUUGCUGCACAGUGCGUGCUGGUGAUACACAUACUCUGCAAAAUCCAUCACCGCUUGGCUGAGUGCAGGCUAAAUCCCACCUGGACCCUGUGCAUCAGGACAAGUGCUUGAUAAAAGGAGCAGAAAGUAUGCUGCAGCAGGACAGAUCUCCACCCUUCAGUAUGCAGAGCAUGUCCACUAGGUGAUGUACAUGCUGCAAGAGCUGGCACAUCACCUGCUUGCCAUCUCCCUUCUUGCUAUUGUUUACCCUCUGCUUUUGGUUCGGACGAAAAUGUGUUAAGUUCCUUCCAAAUGGAAAGAAAGAGGCUAUCUACCUUCAGGAUGUUACAGGCUUCACUGAUGUGCAUUUUGACAUCUCCUUGUCUGAUGUGAUAAGUUUUAGCCCUGCUUCAUGUAUAUUUAUUUGGGGAAUGCCUUAAUUAAAUUCUGUGCUAAGGGCACUUCUUGCAUUCCUCUUUGCCUUCCUUUGGCAUUGUCAGGUCUCCAAAAAACCCUUUGCUGUUGCAGCAUCCUGAUACGCCUUGCACAUGUAUACAUGUGCUGUGACAGAAAAAGGAGACCUGGGUUAUUUGGGAAAAGUUCAUGUAGACAGAAAGUACCUAUUGAUGGUCAUUUGCUGGAAUGCCAGCUUUGUCAUAGCUGUCAGACAUUUUCAGUGAAAUACGGCUUCUUAUUGAAAACACAAAUCUUUUCAGAAGGACGGUUCAGUUAAAUAUAGCAACAUCCACCAAAAAGAGGUAAGAAAAGUGUUUUGAAAACUUUUGUUUUCUCAGAAGCAAAAAGCUUGCCUUGCCCUAAUCUGCUGUGUAUGAUUUAUUUAUACAAAUAAAUAUGUUAAAUAUUUAUUACAUUAAUAUUUAAUAUUAAAUGUAUUUUAAGAUAAAAAAUAUUUAUUUUUAGUGCUGAGA